rnacentral:sRNA from 1 species
GCUUGCGUUCCCCAGCGACACAGGCCUCGAGGCUGUCUCUGACAAGUGUUCACAGGAGGUGGGGACGCCUCUGCGCGAGGAACGAGGAGCUACGGGCCUGGGCCCGGCUAUUGCCAUGGGCAGCGGCUGCCGCAUCGAAUGCAUAUUCUUCAGCGAGUUCCACCCCACGCUGGGACCCAAGAUCACCUAUCAGGUGCCACCCGGGCUCGCGGGACUGGGCGGGGAGAGGGACGUUCUUGAGAGCUCAACCGGCUGCCUGAAGGCAGUAGUUUCCCGUGCUGCACGCAGGCAUGCUACUUCAUUCGCAGACAACUGUGAGGCUAGAGGAUAGUCAGACCCAUUCCCCCGGCUCCCAGUGUAGCAGGGAAGACAUACGUCACAUUGGCAGUGUUUGUAGGAUAUCGGGCUGGAGGGAUCCGGUUGGGGGGUUCCAAGUCCCACAGAAGGUGAAGUGGGUGACCCAUGAGUAUCCCUGAACUGAGUGAAGAGUAAAUGAUGCAUAGGAAGUUUAGAUAAGGGAGGAGAAAGUGUUCCAGGUAGAGGGAACAGCAUAUGCAGAAGCCAGGAAGGAGAUGAGAUCAUAGUGUGUGUUUGGAAACAGAAAGAAGUAAUAGGGCUGAGAGGAUGGGAGAGAGGGGAACGCUGGACAAGAGGACUUGGGCUUGGGGGGCAUGAGGAGGUCACCAUUUAUACUACACCCAGUACAGAUGUCCACUGAGGGACCCAUUGCCACUCCCCUCCCCAGGUCCCUGAAGACUUCAUCUCCCGAGAGCUGUUUGACACAGUCCAAGUGUACAUCAUCACCAAGCCAGAGCUGCAGAACAAGCUUAUCACUGUCACAGCUAUGGAAAAGAAGCUGAUCGGCUGUCCUGUGUGCAUCGAACACAAGAAGUACAGCCGCAAUGCCCUCCUCUUCAACCUGGGCUUCGUGUGUGAUGCCCAGGCCAAGACCUGCGCCCUCGAGCCCAUCGUUAAAAAGCUGGCUGGCUAUCUGACCACACUAGAGAGAGCAGCUUCGUGUCCAUGGAGGAGAGCAAGCAGAAGUUGGUGCCCAUCAUGACCAUCUUGCUGGAGGAGCUAAAUGCCUCAGGCCGGUGCACUCUGCCCAUUGAUGAGUCCAACACCAUCCACUUGAAGGUGAUUGAGCAGCGGCCAGACCCUCCGGUGGCCCAGGAGUAUGAUGUACCUGUCUUUACCAAAGACAAGGAGGAUUUCUUCAAUUCACAGUGGGACCUCACUACACAACAAGUAUGCCAUCCCUCCCUGGGUAUCAUCACCUGGGGCUGGCCACAGCCCUGGCCUCAUCCUGUUUCUUCUGACCUUGUUCCACUCUGCCCAGAUCCUGCCCUACAUUGAUGGGUUCCGCCACGUCCAGAAGAUUUCAGCAGAGGCAGAUGUGGAGCUCAACCUGGUGCGCAUUGCUAUCCAGAACCUGCUGUACUAUGGCGUUGUGACACUGGUGUCCAUCCUCCAGUACUCCAAUGUAUACUGCCCAACGCCCAAGGUCCAGGACCUGGUAGAUGACAAGUCCCUGCAGGAGGCAUGUCUAUCCUACGUGACCAAGCAAGGUAGUGGUGGGCUCUGAGGGAAGCCAUCUUGGGGAGGGCAGAGCCACAUGGUGAGCUGAUCCCUGGCACCCACAGGGCACAAGAGGGCCAGUCUCCGGGAUGUGUUCCAGCUAUACUGCAGCCUGAGCCCUGGCACUACCGUGCGAGACCUCAUUGGCCGCCACCCCCAGCAGCUGCAGCACGUUGAUGAACGGAAGCUGAUCCAGUUCGGGCUUAUGAAGAACCUCAUCAGGCGACUACAGAAGUAUCCUGUGCGGGUGACUCGGGAAGAGCAGAGCCACCCUGCCCGGCUUUAUACAGGCUGCCACAGCUAUGACGAGAUCUGCUGCAAGACAGGCAUGAGCUACCAUGAGCUGGAUGAGCGGCUUGAAAAUGACCCCAACAUCAUCAUCUGCUGGAAGUGAGGCUGGUAGUGGCUGGAUGGACACAUUGCUGUGGGUAGUCCCUCCUACCAGGAGGCUUGUCAUACUGUCUAGAGGUUGACUCUUAGUUCUGUAAAUAAAGACAUCCAUUUCAAACAGC